rnacentral:misc_RNA from 1 species
CCGAGUUGACUACUCCCAAACCCCUGUGAACAUACCAUAACCGUUGCUUCGGCGGACCACCCCCGGCUAACCCCGGGGGCCCGCCAGAGGACCCAAACCCAACUGUAUUUUUGUCUUCUGUUACAACGUAUUCUGAGUGGAGUUUUAAAUAAAUCA